ACAUAGGUAGGAUAAUCCUCACCUGUUCCUCUUUUUGGAGGGCAGAUUGGAACAUGAUGAUAUGUGAUUAACGUUUGUGUGUAAUCAAAACUUACAACACUUUGAUUGCUUCUGAU
ensembl:snoRNA U8 U8 small nucleolar RNA